ensembl:lncRNA
UGAGAAGGCUGUAGGUGUCAGGAUGUUUCAGGGCUCUAUCCACCAAUAAGAAGGAGACUCUUGAGAUGUGUUCUUAAUGGAGCCCUAUUCUCUAUACAGUCACUACAUAGGGAAAAGGGUACUAUUUGGGAUGCAGUAUUUAGACCAGACAGUGUUUUGUUUUGGUCAUCCCCCUUGUUCAUUGUGUUCCGUGGUUACUUUUUUAUGUUAAGAUUUAUAAUCCAUUAUGUAGCAUUGCAUGUAGGUCUCUCUUUAUUGUCUCUCUCUCUCGCAACACUUAAUUUUUAAGCGACGUUGCCACCUAGUGGUUAGAGAGAGAUAUUAGAAGAAUAGCCUAUUAACAACGUUGUUUUCUGUCACAACAACAGGCAUUUAUCAAUGGCAUUGAAACAUUCAGUCAUGUCUGGAUUGAUCUGACUGACUUUGUUACUGAGGGGACCUGCAAAUGGGUGGACGGCACCCCACUGACCACCCCAAGUGUGUUUCCGGUGUCCUGGAACGCAUCCUGUCUGGUUGCCGGGCGAAUUAGCUUGUUGGGAGAUCAUGUUCACCCGCACCUGUAUCCCAUCAGUAAUCUGCACACCUGUCCUGAUCAUCACCUCUCCCCUUCAAAAGCUCUGACCUGACAUCCAUUCCCUGCCGGAUCGUUAGCCAUGAACAUUACUCACCCGGAUCAUUUACCCCAUUCCCGCCUGGUUGUCGGAGGAUUCCGCUACCCAUUGGAUCCACCUAUUUACUCCCAUCAACUCACCACCGCUGCCCGCUACGCCACCUGGAUAUAUCUACCCAUUCACAUUCACUUGUAAAUAAAUACUCACCUUCUUCCUACUCUCCUUGUCCUGGUUUGCUUCUGGGUUCGAUUUUGAAAGAACGUGACAGCUCGAUUCCAAGAUGGCGUAGCAGUGAAGACUUGUUUGUUCGUCCUCUCGUGUACUUUUGUAUUUUUCAUAUUUUUUUGUAUAUAUAUUUCAAUCUCUUUUCGAUUUUUAAUUCUAUUAUACCAUACGGUAACCUGCCUCACCCAAUGUGAUACGGAAUCGCUAUUAUUUUUAAUUUUAGAACACAUUCAAGAACCUCCAGAAGCUAACCAGCUAAUUAGCUACAAGCUAUUUAGUCAUUGUUAGCCACUGCUAGCGGCUUUUACCUUCUGCACAGAUACCAGCCCUGUUUUUAGCCUGGAUAAUACUCGCCAGUCUACCAGUAUCAGACUGUCUCUCCACAACAACGCCGGAUUCCUGCUGUAAUCCCUGGACCACUACUUCUGAUCUUCACAGCUAGAUCACAGCUCGCUUGCACUCACCGUGGCACCCAGUACCGAAGCUAUCCCUGAGGCCCACAUCCCGGCCUACUCAGCUGUUCACCCGAACCCCACUCAUACACGGCUAGAGCCCAAUACACCACCGGAUCCUUGCUGUAAACUCUGGACCUUGGCACCGGAUCACCACUGCUACCGAUUGGCUAUAGUGGUUCCACGAAGCUAGCACCAGUUAGCCGUUAGCCAGGCACAUCUCCCGGCUAGCAAACUACAUUCUACAAUACCUCUUUCGCCAUCUGGCUUGGAUUCUCUGUCGACACAGCGCCCCGCCGCACCACCACGACUGGUCUGCCGACGAAUACUCCAUCCACUGUGCCUUCAACCGGCCUCCGUCGGAGCAGACGCUCCUACUAGCUCCGGGCUACUAACUUUAAACGCUGUGUCGCCCGCGUGCUCCAUCUACUGCUGCCCCCUGGACACUAUGAUCACUUGCCUACAUAGCUGAUGCCUGCUGAACUGUCCAUUAAUCACGUUACUGGUACUCACAGCAACCUGAUACUGGUGGUGACGACCCAAAAAAUGGGGAGGAGGACUGUGUUGAGCUGAACACAGAAACAUGGCGUCCUGUAAAGGCAUGGAAUGACCAGUCAUGUUUAGACAAUCGUCACUGGAUUUGUGAGAAAGUGGUUUAACAUCACCAUGACAACAGAGGAAGCUGGUGGGAGGACAUGCACACAUACAGCACCCUACAGUGCACACAACUUCAUUCUCUCUCUCUCUAAGACACAGACACACCAACACACUGCUGAUACUGCACUGAGGGGCAAAACAACCUGAUAAUGGUUGUGAACCAGGAUAUAUUGUAACAAGGACUGUGCUGAUGUUAAUAUUGGGUAUUCUGAGCCUGUAAAUAAAUAUUAUGACAUAUCAUUUACCUCUCAACAUAACUGUAUUUGUGAAGAGUUAUACAGUAGCUCAUUAUUAUGCUUGUAUUAAUUGUUUUAAAUAGAAACAUGUUAUGUGAUUUGCCAUAGGCUUGUGCUUUUUUCAUAAUCAAUUAUUAGUAUAAAUCUCUUCAGUAAAAGAUGAGGCUCAGAAAAGAAAGGCUCAGUAAGAAAGGAACCUAGCAAUUUACCAGCUUCCUGAUUGAAUGUGAUUGGAUUGUUAAAACGAUGUGACUUGCAGUUGGACACAGACGGUCGGCAGAACAGUACUGAGAAGAUACACGCUACACGCAGGCAAACACACACAGACACACACACAGACACACACAGACACAUUUUUGGAUAAAGAUGCAGACAGAAGUCCCACACACACCUCUGAAUAACUCUUCACACUGAUGUCACACACAGACAGCUUAGAUACAAUUAAAGGGCCCCUAUAUUUCCAUCGGUGGCACAGAGAGAGAUAGAGUCAUAAUGUGAACUCCAUUUGAAGGCUGGAGACGCCACAAACAGAACAGUCAAAGUGAUAGGAUGAAAGAAUGCGCUCCUCAUUACUUGUUGUCAUGCAGCUAUCAUGUUAUAUCACUCUGUUUAGAAUAUCCUGUCAUGUUUAACUUCCUGAGUGGAGGUGAUUGGAUACUUGUAUAUAUCAAUGUUAGUGGACAACAGACAAAGAUACGAGAGGAACAUGGUGGAGAUGCACAUCAGAGCAACUACUCAACUACUAGUCACUGAAGUUAGAAUCAUACAGUAGAUAUUACCAUUAGGAGUCAGUUAGAAAGGUAAUCAUACAGUAGAUAUUACCAUUAGGAGUCAGUUAGUAA